GCCCUUCAAUCAUCAAUCUUUGAUGUCUAUAUUGGUCCGGCCGGCGUGCCGGCUAUGGCGAUAAAUGGCCUGUGUAAUAAGCGGAUCGGACCCGGGGGCGGUACCCGGCGGCUCCACCAGAGGCAUCCCAGACGCAGCCGGAAACCGGCCAACCUACAGGAUGCCUGCGGCGGGGCCGAAAUAGGAUCGACGAACGUGUAAAGACUGCGCUUUUGCCCGGAUGGCCUCCGUUAUUGGGCCAACCCUGAAUAGUUGCCAACGACAACUACUCGGAAGAGUUCGCUCUGGCUGCGUAACGCAGCUCGCGUGAAUUCGCAUUUGAAGUCCUAGCCUCUUUCCAAGGUUAGGCGGGGCCCCCCGGCGCCUGGCAACAGAAGCCGGGGACU
rnacentral:tmRNA from 1 species